CCUACGGGUGGCUGCAGUGGGGAAUAUUGCACAAUGGGCGCAAGCCUGAUGCAGCCAUGCCGCGUGUGUGAAGAAGGCCUUCGGGUUGUAAAGCACUUUCAGCGGGGAGGAAGGCGGUGAGGUUAAUAACCUCAUCGAUUGACGUUACCCGCAGCAGAAGCACCGGCUAACUCCGUGCCAGCAGCCGCGGUAAUACGGAGGGUGCAAGCGUUAAUCGGAAUUACUGGGCGUAAAGCGCACGCAGGCGGUCUGUCAAGUCGGAUGUGAAAUCCCCGGGCUCAACCUGGGAACUGCAUUCGAAACUGGCAGGCUAGAGUCUUGUAGAGGGGGGUAGAAUUCCAGGUGUAGCGGUGAAAUGCGUAGAGAUCUGGAGGAAUACCGGUGGCGAAGGCGGCCCCCUGGACAAAGACUGACGCUCAGGUGCGAAAGCGUGGGGAGCAAACAGGAUUAGAUACCCGUGUAGUC
rnacentral:rRNA from 1 species